AUGGCCGCUAAGUCAGACGGGAGGCUGAAAAUGAAGAAGAGCAGCGACGUGGCGUUCACCCCGCUGCAGAACUCGGACCACUCGGGCUCGGUGCAGGGAUUGGCUCCGGGCUUGCCGUCGGGUUCGGGAGCCGAGGACGAGGAGGCGGCCGGGGGCGGCUGCUGCCCGGACGGCGGCGGCUGCUCACGCUGCUGCUGCUGCUGCGCUGGGAGCGGCGGCUCGGGCGGCGGCUCCGGGGGCUUGGGCGGCCCGGGCGGCGGCGUUGGCGGCCCGGGCAGCAGCGGGGCGGGCUCGGCGGCGCUGUGCCUGCGCCUGGGCAGGGAGCAGCGGCGCUACUCGCUGUGGGACUGCCUCUGGAUCCUGGCCGCGGUGGCCGUGUACUUCGCGGACGUGGGCACGGACAUCUGGCUUGCCGUGGACUACUACUUGCGCGGCCAGCGCUGGUGGUUCGGGCUCACGCUCUUCUUCGUGGUGCUCGGCUCGCUCUCCGUGCAAGUGUUCAGCUUCCGCUGGUUUGUGCACGAUUUCAGCACCGAGGACAGCGCCACGACCGCAGCUGCCUCCACGCAGCCUGGAGCCGAUUGCAAGACGGUGGCCAGCAGUGGGUCUGCAGCCGCGGAAGGCGAGGCUCGUCCUUCCACGCCGCAAAGGCAAGCAUCCAACGCCAGUAAGAGCAACAUCGCCGCCACCAACAGCGGCAGCAACAGUAGCGGGGCCACCCGGGCCAGCGGCAAACACAGGUCUGCGUCCUGCUCCUUCUGCAUCUGGCUCCUGCAGUCACUCAUCCACAUCUUGCAGCUCGGGCAAAUCUGGAGAUAUUUCCACACCAUCUACUUAGGCAUUCGAAGUCGACAGAGUGGGGAGAAUGACCGGUGGAGGUUUUACUGGAAAAUGGUGUAUGAGUAUGCAGAUGUGAGUAUGCUGCACUUGCUAGCCACCUUUCUGGAAAGUGCGCCACAGCUGGUCCUGCAGCUCUGCAUUAUCGUACAGACUCAUAGCUUACAGGCCCUCCAAGGUUUCACAGCAGCAGCCUCCCUUGUGUCUUUGGCUUGGGCCUUGGCCUCCUACCAGAAGGCCCUCCGGGACUCUCGAGAUGACAAGAAGCCUAUCAGCUACAUGGCAGUUGUCAUCCAGUUCUGCUGGCACUUCUUUACCAUUGCCGCCAGAGUCAUCACCUUCGCCCUCUUUGCCUCGGUUUUCCAGCUGUACUUUGGGAUCUUCAUCGUCCUCCACUGGUGCAUCAUGACCUUCUGGAUCGUCCACUGUGAGACAGAAUUCUGCAUCACCAAAUGGGAAGAGAUUGUGUUCGACAUGGUGGUGGGGAUCAUCUACAUCUUCAGCUGGUUCAACGUCAAGGAAGGCAGGACACGCUGCAGGCUCUUCAUUUACUAUUUUGUGAUCCUAUUGGAAAAUACAGCCUUGAGUGCCCUCUGGUACCUCUACAAGGCUCCCCAGAUUGCAGAUGCGUUUGCCAUCCCAGCGCUGUGUGUGGUAUUCAGCAGCUUUUUAACUGGCGUCGUUUUUAUGCUGAUGUACUAUGCCUUCUUUCACCCCAAUGGACCCCGAUUUGGGCAGUCACCAAGUUGUGCUUGUGAGGACCCAGUCGCUGCCUUCACUCUGCCUCCAGAAGUGGCCACGAGCACACUCCGGUCCAUCUCUAACAACCGCAGCGUCGCCAGCGACCGCGACCAGAAAUUCGCAGAGCGGGAUGGGUGCGUACCUGUCUUUCAGGUGAGGCCCACUGCCCCGUCUACACCAUCCUCUCGCCCACCACGGAUUGAAGAAUCUGUCAUUAAAAUUGACCUGUUUAGGAAUAGGUACCCGGCGUGGGAGAGACACGUUUUGGACCGAAGCCUUCGAAAGGCCAUUCUAGCCUUUGAAUGUUCCCCGUCUCCUCCAAGGCUGCAGUACAAAGAUGAUGCCCUUAUUCAGGAGCGGUUGGAAUAUGAAACCACUUUAUAAAAUAGAAGGCCUCGGAGGAGCCACAACCUCCAGUGAAGGGGUAACAGCAGGGCCGUGGCAAUAAUGAAACUGUCCUAGAAUAGGGCAACGGGCUGUAAUGUGCUUCGUCGGACCCUCCGUCAGCUGACCACCUGCUGCUGGUCUCCUUUCAAAAGAGCAGCUGAAGGGAAAGAAUCGAACCGAACCGUGCCUGCUCAGUAGGACUCCUUGUUGCUACCAGCCCCUCCUGCCCACUUUUAGCGUGUCCACCAGAGGGUACUAUGAGCACGGAAAACAUUGUCUCCAAUCAAUAGGUUGUUUUGAUGGAGUUAACUGAUCUUUGCAUAAAAAUAUAUUCAAUCACAUACACACAUACACACACACACAUACACACACAUGCUAACACACACGGCACCAGUCCUCUGUCAAAAUAGGUUAGAUGAUUUCUUUUCUAGAUGCAAAGCUCUGAUUCUGAAUAUAAAAACAAAGAGAGAGAGAAUAUAUCCUUCAAGACUCCAGAAAAACAAAACAAAACAAAACAAAACAAAAAAUAGUACUACUUAGAAAAGAAUUUCAUAGACCAUUCUCAUUUGGAAAUCACUACCAUGCGUGCAAAUCCUACCACAGACAGCAAACUCAACUGUCGUUUACAUAUGUAUUCGAAUCAAUGGAAUGGUUCAUUUUCAACACAUUUCAGGAUUUGUUUUUUAUUUUAAAUUUCAGUCGAGAACAUCCUUUCUGACAGAAAUCCUAUGCAGCACAUCUAUGGCUUUCGACAAGACCAAGGAGCUCAGUGAUUUCAUGAUGUAAAUUAAAUGAAAAUCAUGGUUCAGUAUUCAGUUGCAAAAAUUUAAUAAGUACAUGAAGAGGAAGCAGGGAAACAAGGCAAAAAUGAGCAUCUGACUUCCCAGCCUGCCGCAGUUCACAGAGGCAAGGAGGUGCAGAGCGGCAGGAGAGAAACAUGCUGAACUGGGUGUUUCGAGACGCAGAAAAGCGUGGCUCUGUGUGACCGCUACGGAGCAUGCCAUGCCACACCCUCCUAGUGCCAAACAGCAUCCAACCACAGGACUGACGUGGAAGUCCCAAACACCAGAGAAUGAGCGGCAUGAGCCCCCCAAACGUGGACGUGAGAGCACACCAUCACAUUCCCCAUUGUGUACAGACUACCCCCCCAAUCCAAGGUCAAAGUGAUGUGUCUUUUAGAGGCUUUGGGACACUUUUUAGUAAGUAUAAGCAGACAAUGCAGUGAAUAUGCUAUGAGAAAACCUUCCAAACUGAUUGAGGGCUUAUCACUAGAUCCAGCUAAGAUUUGUAUUUGAACCAUUUGUAAAGUUGCACUCUUACAACAAACUUCUGGGUUUUAAAUACCUCCGUACAGCAAGUAAACGUUCCCUGCUUUCUGUUCCCAGUGUCCUCGGUCAUGGUGCUUUUUGUUGCAUUAAAAGUGCCGGUCAAACUUUGAUAGUAUUUUUUUAUAGUUGGUGCAGAGUGGAAUAACUCAUGGAUUAUUUCAAUAUUUUUGUAAUAAAAAUAUAGGGUAUACAUAUAGGCAUCAUCACCUUUUUUAUAGACCUGGAAUUGUUUAAAAUACUUUAAGCAUCAUAAUUACUUGGGAUGUCAGAAACUGAUCCACAAAUUUCGUCAGCCUGCCUCAGCACAUUGAGAACGCUUGUGUCUUGCAAGAUCACCCAAUUUUGCAAUGUUGGUGCCCCCAGGAACCUGGCCAGGGGUGCUAUCAGAAUAUCAGGUGACAAGAGAAUCAGCUUAACUAGAAAGGGCUUGUCAAGACUGGCCAAUGUUUCCCAGGAUGUGAAAGCUAUAAAUGAUUACUUUCAUCCAUCCAUUCUCACAAAUCUGACCACAGUGGAAGAUGUCUUAAACUUCCUUCCCUGGUUUUAUAUUAACCCAACUUAUAUAUUAACUAUUAGUCAAGUCACUAAAAAAAAAAAAAAAAAAAAAAAGAUGAGAGAGAGGGAGAGAAGAGAAAAAGUCCGUUUAGCUUAAUUAUUCGGUUAUUUGGAAUGUACAAUCCACUUAAAUUAGUCAUGUUCAAUAGCCACCUGCUGUAUGCUGUAGUGGGUAUGUCAUAGAGACUGCUGUCCCCGUCACAUCCACAGGAAAUGGCAGAGGGCUCAACCUAUGACUUCCUUUGGUACAAAGCCCCAGAGCAAUAUUUUAAAAAUAGCUGUUUUUUUUUUUUUUAAUCAGUAGACAUAUUUUCCUAGUACUCCAUGAUUUGAUCCUCCAAGCAAGAUUUCCACUAAAAAAUAAUAACCUCUUGUUCGGAUGUGAAAAGAUUGCCUAGUCGCCAGUAGAGGCCCAGGAAGAUGCUCUUCUUGUCAGCAAUUGGUGAAAACAUUGCACCCCCAUUGUAGAAGGAAAAAAAUGAUUAUAUUGGCAAAAAUUCUUCACUUUUGUGCAGGACCAUGAGUUAUUAGCUUCCUUAUUUCCAAGAAAACUUUUAAUCGAUGAUCUUUGGAAAUUGAAUGGCUCAGUUGAACUAUACCUUUGAUUCCAUGAGUAAAUACCAGAUUACAGAUAGAGUGAUCGAUCAACACAAACUCAGCAGGCCCUACCAUGCCUCAAUCAUAAACAUCUUGGAACUUGUCAAGCUUACUGAAGGUGAUUUGCGUUAAUUAAUGCAACAGAGCCUUUAAUCUUGCAAAUUCUUGACUUGUAAUAUUGUAGCCAAGCUACCGCGAGGGAAAAUUAAUCAGUUAGUGGGAAGGAGCCCUCGUUCCGUGCUGAGCUGUACCCAGGCCUGAAGAGAAAGACCUCUGUGAAGUAGAGCACUAAUGAAUUCGUGCUACCUGCUUCCUCAUCAUUCAUGCUAUGAAUAUUCAUCUACUUCAUUUGUUUUUGACAGUAAGCGCUGCUUUGAAAGAAAAAAAAACGUCAAUGGAUUCCUGGGGCUUGCAUAGCUCAGAGAAUAGGUACUGGGUCUUGGAGAAUCCUUAAAUGAAUACAAAUCUACUUGUUUGGAAAUGAAAAAAAAAAAAAAAGUCAUUGUUAUCUCUUUAAUGAUUGAUCUGUCUGAGUACCGUGGCUGCCCUCACUUGGUUUCUUGAGAGUACUGUUGUCAGCAUUGUAAUAACAAAUUUAUGAAAAUUGAAUCUGUAAUUCCAUUUCAGAGGUAAAAUCUGCAUGGAUGUAACUGUUAAGUAAUUUGAUACCCGCCUUCCUGCAAUUAACCUUGGACAAUUGGGUGGUGACAUUGCCGGUUUCAAACUGAGGUACCUAAGUUUAUGGUAUUGGCCCUCCUGUUGUUUCUGAGUCCUGACCAAACGUCAGUUACAAACUCUGAGAUCAAGUAGAGAUUCUUAUUGCCUAAAUGUUUGUUUCAAAGUAAACUAAUAGUCUCAUAAUUUGAAAAAAUCAUGGUUCUUUCCCACUUGCUUCUCUGUUUUCCAAGAAAGAUUUGAGUUGCAAGAUAAGAAUGAAUAUACUUCACAUCAUUGUCUCAGAGUUUGCAAGUAUCAGGCUUCCCUAUGUUAUAAUAAAGUUUCUGUCUAACCUUCUAGUAGAACAAUUUCAGGAAUGAACCCUAAAUCAAUGAGUGAAAGUCAUCAGGUUUAUCCAAAGAGCAACCUAGCAGAAAAAUUUUAGAAAAGAAGCAGGGAUCCUUUUUCUUGGGUUUCAAAGAUGUUUCUCCUUGCUAAGUGACCAUCUUAGUGAUUUGAGAGCUACUGAAUGGUAGUCCCAGUUAGAAGUGUCAGUAUUGUGCUGCAUACUCUAUUCUGUCAAAGUCAUUUUUCAGAACUAACUCUUGGCACCAGCACUGAAAUUUAAUGGCAAAAACUGGCCUACUACCAUGUAAUUUAUUUUCAAUUGCAAGGCAAUGAAAACUAAUAAGUUGAAGAAAAUUUUAAUUUCCUGAACUCCAAAGCCAAAAUGGGCACAAAGACACUCCGUAACAUACAAUGAGCUGGUUGACUGUGGGGACGCAGGGGCAAUAAACAAUCCUCUUAAGCACGGCUCAUGAGUGAGAGGCUAGAAGCUGUGUUGGGACAGAAGGUGAUUGAAGAGGAUGUCUACCAGUUGCUCAUCAGGAAUAUCUGCCUUUUUAUAGAGCAGAGGUUCAAAGUAGCCCCUGCCAUUCCCUAACUAUGAGGAUAGAUACAUCCAUAUAUAAAGGGCCAAGUCAGAAGACAGAGAAGAUAUCAGGGCCUUCAUGUCUGAGAGUAACUCUGUCUUUAAGGAAACAGCUCUCCUUGGUCAUUGGCCCCUAUGCUGCUAGCUAGCUCUGCAUGCCAAGAACUUCUGAUGGACUACAAGAUGAGAUAUUUAAAGGUAUCGUAAGUAUUCCUGCUUGUAGAACAUGAACCACUGAAUUAGCCCUCCUUUUCAACAGCAACCAGAUUCAGGGUUACUAUGGCCUUACUCAUCAUCCCAUUGUAAAUAUAUCAUGACAUCAUGAUAGCCUCUGUGUUCAAAUUCACUAAACCAGGUUUACAUGUCCUAGGUCUGUGUAUCUAUCCCCAAUUUGGAAAAAAAUAAUUUUUUGAGAAUGAUCUUUACAAUAAUGGAAGUGAAAAAAAAAAGUGGACAGUUGAGUAAUUUUUCACC